rnacentral:lncRNA from 1 species
UUAUUUUUGUCCUUUUCACCACUGAAAUAUGCUCCGGAGACUCCUUAACCUCCAUUAUAAAUAGUAGCCCUAGUUAUCUUCACUCUCCUCUCUCAAAGCUCGGUAGCUCAUUAAAAUCUCAUCAUCAACAGUCAACAAAUCACAGAAAAAACCCACUUUCUCCCCUCAAUUUCUGUUAAAACUCUCUUUUUUUGGGGUGUAUUCUUGUCAUCAUCAAAAGUAGACCACACAGUAGAUUCAUGGCCGUAGUCACCCCACCUAGAGGUGCUCCACAGCGGCUGUACUUCGAUGAAAAAUGGAAGCUCUCAAAGAAGGAAAGUUCAUCGAGAAGUCGUUCCUCAAAUAAUUUCAUCACAAAUUCAUCCCAGAAAAGGUGUUCUUUUACAAGAAAGUGUGCUGCUUUAGUUAAGGAACAAAGGGCCAGGUUUUACAUCAUGAGACGCUGUGUAACGAUGCUCAUUUGCUGGCGUGAAUACAGUGAUUCUUGAAAUGGAAAAAUGUAGAGAGAGAAAACGAAACAUUUUGCUUUCUCUCUCUUCUUUUUUUGUUUUCCUUUCUAAGAGACUGUCUUUUCCCUGGUUAAAGAUUUUUCCAGCGUCCGAGGAAGGAGGAAGAGGAGGAGAAGGAAGAAAAUUGCAUUUGCACACAAGACCAUUGUAUAUAUACAUAUAUAUAGACACUAAUAUUUCUUUCUUUUCUCGAUUCCUUUAGUAUGUCUUCGAAUUUUAUUUUCUUGGAUCCAAAAUUCACUGAAAUGAGAAAAGGGCUCUUAAUUACAGUGAAGAUUCAUACAAAUUUUGAGGGUUUAAUUAUUUUUGUUAAUUUUUGCAACAAAUUAAUGGUUUCGUUUUUGAUAUCUAGAGAGAGGAAGAGAAAGAGAGAGUGAGGGGGAGAUUCCAUUAUCUGAUUUGUUGGUUUGUAGGUGCAGCAGAGUGUGGAUCCAAUUCCAAUGUGUUGCAGAUAAUUAUAUAUUUUAUUGCAUUUAAAUCAGCACUGGCAAAUAUUUAUGCGUCAAAAUUAUAUUUUAUUUUUAUAGCGGAGUUAAUGGAUCAAAC